rnacentral:rRNA from 1 species
UACGUAGGGUGCAAGCGUUAAUCGGAAUUACUGGGCGUAAAGCGUGCGCAGGCGGUUAUGUAAGACAGUUGUGAAAUCCCCGGGCUCAACCUGGGAACUGCAUCUGUGACUGCAUAACUAGAGUACGGUAGAGGGGGAUGGAAUUCCGCGUGUAGCAGUGAAAUGCGUAGAUAUGCGGAGGAACACCGAUGGCGAAGGCAGUGUCCUGGCUGGUGACUGACGCUGAGGUGCGAAAGCUAGGGGAGCGAACGGG